rnacentral:rRNA from 1 species
UACGUAGGUGGCAAGCGUUGUCCGGAAUUAUUGGGCGUAAAGCGCGCGCAGGUGGUUCCUUAAGUCUGAUGUGAAAGCCCACGGCUCAACCGUGGAGGGUCAUUGGAAACUGGGGAACUUGAGUGCAGAAGAGGAAAGUGGAAUUCCAAGUGUAGCGGUGAAAUGCGUAGAGAUUUGGAGGAACACCAGUGGCGAAGGCGACUUUCUGGUCUGUAACUGACGCUGAGGCGCGAAAGCGUGGGGAGCAAACAGG